UGGCUCAGAGGUUAAAGCGUCUGACUCCAAUGCAGGAGACCCGGGUUCAAUCCCUGG
rfam:Ovis aries breed Texel chromosome 3, whole genome shotgun sequence.